GUACCCGUAGCUUAAUUGGAUAGAGUAUCAGCUUGCGAAGUUGACGGUUGGAGGUUCAAAUCCUCUCGGGUACGCCA
rnacentral:tRNA from 1 species